UACAGAGGGUGCGAGCGUUAAUCGGAAUUACUGGGCGUAAAGCGUGCGUAGACGGCUAUCUAAGUCGGGUGUGAAAGCCCCGGGCUCAACCUGGGAAUUGCAUUCGAGACUGAAUAGCUAGGGUACGGUAGAGGGAAGCGGAAUUUCCGGUGUAGCGGUGAAAUGCGUAGAUAUCGGAAGGAACAUCAGUGGCGAAAGCGGCUUCCUGGACCAGUACCGACGUUCAGGCACGAAAGCGUGGGGAGCAAACAGGA
rnacentral:rRNA from 1 species